rnacentral:rRNA from 1 species
AGAGUUUGAUCCUGGCUCAGGAUGAACGCUAGCGGCAGGCCUAACACAUGCAAGUCGAGGGGUAACAGGGAGUGCUUGCACUUUGCUGACGACCGGCGCACGGGUGCGUAACGCGUAUACAAUCUACCUUGUACUAGGGAAUAGCCCAGAGAAAUUUGGAUUAAUGCUCUAUAGUCUAUUGUUGUGGCAUCACAUAAAUAGUAAAGGUUACGGUACAAGAUGAGUAUGCGUCCUAUUAGUUAGUUGGUGUGGUAACGGCACACCAAGGCUACGAUAGGUAGGGGCCCUGAGAGGGGGACCCCCCACACUGGUACUGAGACACGGACCAGACUCCUACGGGAGGCAGCAGUGAGGAAUAUUGGACAAUGGAGGCAACUCUGAUCCAGCCAUGCCGCGUGCAGGAAGACUGCCCUAUGGGUUGUAAACUGCUUUUAUACAGGAAGAAACACUCCCUCGUGAAGGGAGUUUGACGGUACUGUAAGAAUAAGGAUCGGCUAACUCCGUGCCAGCAGCCGCGGUAAUACGGAGGAUCCAAGCGUUAUCCGGAAUCAUUGGGUUUAAAGGGUCCGUAGGCGGGCAAUUAAGUCAGGGGUGAAAGUUUGCGGCUCAACCGUAAAAUUGCCUUUGAAACUGGUUGUCUUGAAUUACUGUGAAGUGGUUAGAAUAUGUAGUGUAGCGGUGAAAUGCAUAGAUAUUACAUAGAAUACCAAUUGCGAAGGCAGAUCACUAACAGUAUAUUGACGCUGAUGGACGAAAGCGUGGGGAGCGAACAGGAUUAGAUACCCUGGUAGUCCACGCCGUAAACGAUGGAUACUAGCUGUUCGACAUUUAUGUUGAGUGGCUAAGCG